rnacentral:rRNA from 1 species
AGUAGAUACCCAGGUAGUCCACGCCGUAAACGAUGGAUACUAGCUGUUCGUCCGCCUCGGCGGAUGAGUGGCUAAGCGAAAGUGAUAAGUAUCCCACCUGGGGAGUACGAACGCAAGUUUGAAACUCAAAGGAAUUGACGGGGGCCCGCACAAGCGGUGGAGCAUGUGGUUUAAUUCGAUGAUACGCGAGGAACCUUACCAAGGCUUAAAUGUAGAUUGACAGGACUGGAAACAGUUUUUCUUCGGACAAUUUACAAGGUGCUGCAUGGUUGUCGUCAGCUCGUGCCGUGAGGUGUCAGGUUAAGUCCUAUAACGAGCGCAACCCCUGUUGUUAGUUGCCAGCGAGUGAUGUCGGGAACUCUAACAAGACUGCCAGUGUAAACUGUGAGGAAGGUGGGGAUGACGUCAAAUCAUCACGGCCCUUACGCCUUGGGCUACACACGUGCUACAAUGGCCGGUACAGAGAGCAGCCACUGCGCGAGCAGGAGCGAAUCUAUAAAACCGGUCACAGUUCGGA